rnacentral:tRNA from 1 species
CGCGAUGAGUACCCACACAGAUUGAUACGGUUUAUAAAGUUAAGAGUAAGAAAACUUCCAGAUGGGGCUAUAGCUCAGCUGGGAGAGCGCUUCGCUGGCAGCGAAGAGGUCUGCGGUUCGAUCCCGCAUAGCUCCACCAUCUUUAAGUGUUCUUCUCUUAAAUCAGAGAAUAUUUAAAAAUGGUUCUUAACGAAUCACGCUCUUUAACAAUUUGGAAAGCUGACGAAUAACAACAAUCCCCUUAUCUUCGGAUAAGCGUUGUUAUUCAAAUUAAAAGUUCUCAAAUCCUAUUCUCUAUGAGAGUAGGUACCAACACACAUUCAAGUGUUCUUGGGUUUUCACGAAAGUGAAAACAUAUUUGAGUCCGGCAAAAUCGAAGUGUUGUCUCGCUCAUAACAAAGAGACAACAAUAAACCUUGGUUGUUUGCCAUACAGAAACCUUUUGGGG